UGUGUAUUAUUAGUUUGACUUGGACAAAUGGGGUUACUUGCCCUGGAUGGUCUUUUUUACUACUUUUUCUGUCCAAGUUGUUCAAGGCAAGUUAAGCAAGAAAACGAAAUCCAAAUCCUACACGAUAACAGAUGAGGUUGUAUCCUGCUGUGUCGACUCGUCCCCCACCUGUCCGUGGGAGGGUCCCGGCCUGUCAGCAGGUCCCUCGGGUUC